rnacentral:piRNA from 1 species
UACCUGUAAGCCCAACAGAGACAAGGCUGGA